CGCGUAGGCGGCUUGGCAAGUCAGAUGUGAAAGCCCCGGGCUUAACUCGGGAAUUGCAUCUGAAACUGCUUUGCUUGAGUCCUGGAUGGGAUAGUGGAAUUCCCAGUGUAGCGGUGAAAUGCGUAGAUAUUGGGAGGAACACCUGCGGCGAAGGCGGCUAUCUGGACAGUGACUGACGCUGAGGCGCGAAAGCUAGGGGAGCGAACGGGAUUAGAUACCCCGGUAGUCCUAGCCGUAAACGAUGGGCACUUGGUGUUGGGGGUAUUGUAGUCCCUCGGUGCCGGAGUUAACACGUUAAGUGCCCGCCUGGGGAGUACGGUCGCAAGACUGAA
rnacentral:rRNA from 1 species